rnacentral:sRNA from 1 species
CAAGUUUCGUCCGGGUCACCUCCUCCCGACCUUGGCGAUCAGGGACGGCAUUUAUUCCUCCCGAAUGCUGUCGUCCAAAUCAAGCCCGCCGCACCUCCUCCCGCGGCGGGCUUUUUCG